rnacentral:lncRNA from 1 species
AGCUGGCAGCGCGACCCAGCCACGCACUGGGAGCGCGCCCUCUCCCCAACUUCUCACCCUCGCCCUGGGUUCCGGGCCCCAGGCCCAGAGAAUAGCAAACAGAAAGAACUUCAAGAUUACAAAUAUCCGUCUCAUUUGAUGCUGAAUUACUCGUGGACAGAUAAGAAAAGGUCUGUUUGGACAUUCAAAGAAGCUACACAUACAAAGAUGGUUUGGCUCGGUGCCGUCAGACACAGCACUUUGAAGAAAAAAAACACAGAAAGAAAGAAAGGAAGGAAAGAAGGAAGGAAGGAAGGACAGAAGGAAGGAAGGAAGGAAAGAAGGAAAGAAGGAAGGAAGGAAGGAAGGAAGGAAGGAAGGAAGGAAGGAAGGAAGGAAGGAAAAAUGUCUGAGCGUUUCCAUGCUCAUCUUUGCCUCAAAUAAUCAUCGGCCUUCUCUAGAUACUUCCAGGUUUUGCCGUAAUGAUCUGCAGAAGAGAGCUGCCAUCACUUUCUCACAUCCCAAGGUGUUGGCGGAACUCGGAGCGAGGGGAGAGUGCCUGUAAUGCUUAAUUGCCAAGGGGAGGGCGGGGUGCCACUCGGGACCCCGGGCGGGGCUUGGGGAGGUAAGGUGCAACCAAGGAGGUCUUUCUGGACGCUGGACUCUUCAGUUGGAGAAUAUUUGGACAAGGUAUGAUUGCCUCCCACCUCCCACCUCCCACCUCUUUUCCCCAAUGCCUUUGGGGGAGAAGUGAUACCCUUGUGUAACAAUUAGCUCAGACAAUAAAAAUAAUUGGAAAAUCA